rnacentral:tRNA from 1 species
GGCUCGAUAGCUUAGUUGGUAAAGCGCUCGUCUAGCAUACAAGAAUCCUGGCUUCAAGUCCCAGCCGAGCAU